GACGAACGCUGGCGGCGUGCCUAAUACAUGCAAGUCGAGCGAAUCAAUGGGAGCUUGCUCCCUGAGAUUAGCGGCGGACGGGUGAGUAACACGUGGGUAACCUGCCUGUAAGACUGGGAUAACUUCGGGAAACCGGAGCUAAUACCGGAUACUUUCUUUUCUCGCAUGAGGGAAGAUGGAAAGAUGGUUCUGCUAUCACUUACAGAUGGACCCGCGGCGCAUUAGCCAGUUGGUGAGGUAACGGCUCACCAAGGCAACGAUGCGUAGCCGACCUGAGAGGGUGAUCGGCCACACUGGGACUGAGACACGGCCCAGACUCCUACGGGAGGCAGCAGUAGGGAAUCUUCCGCAAUGGACGAAAGUCUGACGGAGCAACGCCGCGUGAGCGAAGAAGGCCUUCGGGUCGUAAAGCUCUGUUGUUAGGGAAGAACAAGUACGAGAGUAACUGCUCGUACCUUGACGGUACCUAACCAGAAAGCCACGGCUAACUACGUGCCAGCCGCCGCGGUAACAC
rnacentral:rRNA from 1 species